UAUUUGCUUCGUCCUCCGGCACCGGCCAAGCAGACUCCACAUCCAAUCGCCCACGCCUCCUCUCGACCCAGGCACAUCGCAUCCUUCCCUCACCCCUGCCGCCUCUAUGCCACUCCUAACCCUUUCUCUUCUCAAUCCGGCUCCAUGGAGGUGGCCGGCAGGGAGGACGAGGACGUGGAGGAGGGCGCUGCCGAUGGCGCCAGAAGCAGCUCGACAAGAACCACCGUCACGCGGAGGCAAGUCGCCAUCGACACGGCCUCUUCGUCUGCGCCAUCAAGGGCCAACAGCUCCAGAUCCGGGAGCAUCUUCCCGGAGGCGGAGCCGGCGACUCCUGAUGCACCUGGUGAUGGCCGGGGUAGCGAUCCAGUCGACCUUCUGGAUGUUGGCUUCCUCACUAUGCUGCAACCACCUCCUCCGCAGGUGGACGAGUGCUACGAGCCGGCAGUUCCUGAAAAUUUUCUUGCAACCGGUUGAGGUUUUUCUCUGACCAUUCCUCCGAGAUUCCGUUUUUUUUACACUGUUUGUGAAAAGAGAGGUGAGAAAGGAAGUGCUGGACUAGCUGUUGCGAUGGGGAUUAAUUCAAAAGAUUAGAGGAGAUAAGUCAGCAAAGAUUUAGGUGAUGUUCCUGCUGCUAAUGUGUAUGCGACUGAAAAGUCAGAGGGUAGAAGAGAAAAUUUUGCUGCUAAUGCAUAUACAAAGAGAGAGGGUUGAUGUUGCUAUUUUGUUCCCUAUUAGAAUUGGUCGCUCUAUGGGAUUCGGGAGAAUUGAUUUUAACCCCCCCUGUUCGCUCGCCUUUGAUCAUAUACCCCUUUCUUUGCUUGCUUGCCUCUGAACCCCCUCAGUUCUGUCUACUUCUUGCUGAUUGCCCCCUUUGGCAUGUUUAACAAAUUUGUCAGUAUAUCAAUCUCCCUCAGCACCUAGGGUUUCUACAAUUUAGACAAUCGUACCACAGGACCACACAAAGUCCACGGAAAACGGAAGGGGGAAAGCUUGCCUUACCUUGGGGCAGCAAUGGAGGGCGGCGGAUUGGGGGUGGGGGUGGGGGUGGCGGGACGCGGCGGAGCAGCAGGGGAGAUGGACGGCGGAUUGGGAGAGGCGGCGGGGGCGACGCGGCGGAGCAGGGGCGACGGACGGCGGGGCACAGCGGCUAUGGCGGCUGGUCGCCUUGCUAGAUCGAACAAGACGAGAGAGGGAGAGAGGCGAGAAGUGAAACGAACGGGCCAACCCUCCUCUGUCUCGCGUGUUGAGGAAACUGCACGAGGACGUAUUAGUCCAGAUUUCGUUCAUUAUUAGCUAAUUGAACAGAUAACAACGCCAAGGGGGGCAAUCAGCAAGAAGGAGAUGGUACUGAGGGGCUUCAGAGGGAGGCAAACCAAGAAAGGGUUCUAUCAUCAAAGGCGAGGGAACUGGGGGGGUUAAAAUCAAUUCUCCCUCUGUGGGGAUUCCACCAUUAGCAGAAAGAUCAAGGCAAUGUGAUAACUUUAUGAGGACAUAUUUUGUGUCUAAAUCUGCUGAGUUAUAUGAUGUGUAACAUGGCAGUGUUGCUGAAUGGAAGGAGGUAAUUUGCUUGCUCUUUCUAAAUUUGUUGGUUUCUUCAUGCUAUAUUGAUUAAUAUUGUAAUAUUUAAUAUUGUUUUGUCGGCUCCCUUGUUGUUGUGAUCUUCGUGUUGAAAAGGCAGUACGAACACUCGAUUAGAGGAUCCUGCUAGGCCUCUCUACCUCAUAGAACUUGAUAUGGGUUGCCUUGUUCCUCUCAUUCUUAUUCUUCUCAGAAUUUAGGGUUGGGCGUUGAACAUACAUGCACAGGUUGGUUUCAGUUUUCUGUGUAAACUGAAGCAGGGGAUAAGUCAAUAUACAUAUGUCGUGUUCCAGAUUAGAAAUUAAGAGAAGAGAGAGAGAAACGAUUGGUUAGUAAAAUAUGUAGCUGCAAGUUUACAUAGUGGAAUUGCUGACCAAAGUUUUUCUCUAAUGUACAUUUCGGAAAUUCCUAAUACUUAAAACUUGUUUUUCAGCCCGUUUUCUGUCAUCAGAAAAUACAAAUAGCAUUUUUUUCAAUCAGUUAACAGUAUGAACAGUCAGCUAACAAUACAAAUAUGGUAGCAUUUUUCAGCCUAUUACUUACUGAAUGCGAGUCAUUGGCAUUUUUUCAGUCGGUUAACAAACAGUUUUUCAGUUAGUGAACAAAUAGCAACACUUCAGAAGCUUUUUUAGAUAAGCUACAGAGAUAAGCAGCAGUUUUUCAAUCAGUUAACAAACAGCAGCACAACAGUUUUUCAGUCACCUGAUCUUUGUCCAAUUUUUUCUCGCUUGUUACAGGUCACCAUUGUAUUCGACCUGGGAACCUACAUACAGAUUUUCAUCUAUGAUAUUUCAGCAUCUUCUAUGCUUCCAAUCUGUUAAUUUAAUUUUACUUAUAAACGGCACAACCUUCCCUUCUCCUUUUUCGUGUGUAGAAUUGAUGAUUGAUGUAGUUUCACUGAAUCAAAAUACUGAUGCCUUUUCCCUUCUCCUUGACAGCUUUGCGAGAGCUAGGAAAGUAUUGGUGGAAUCUCAUGAAGAAGAGAGACAGAUAAUGUUUGAGGUGAAUUCCUUCACCUGCCCUGCUUAUGGGAAAUUCUGCAAUGAUGCCCAGCGGCACACCACUCUCAAGUCUGAGAUGAAUUCCUUCACCAGAGGUUCUCCUUCGUGAGCUACGUCAGCGCUCAGAAGGCAUGCAUCGAAGCCCUUGACGGCUGGUUGUCCAGGUUCAUCCUAACAGACACCAUUUGUUACUCCCGGGGGAUCUCCUUGAUUGCGCCCGACAGGGCCGGCACGCCGCCCCUGGUGGUGAUCAUGAGUGGCACACCAUGCUGUCGACGACUGGAUCGAUCCUCCUCACUAGUGACUCCGGCAUAGGACUUGGCGAUGGGGAGAGGUCGUUCAGCGCUGCGGAGAGCUGGUGCCAAGAACUAACUGUUGAUGUGGAAUCAUAUUUAUUAAAUAAUUAUCAGUUUGACUUAUUCGCUUGUAUUCAAACUGUACUGCAUUUUUGUUUGAGUCAUGUUUUUUCAUGUUCAUGAUAGUUCUUAUAUACUGUGCUUCUCAUAAUUUGGGUGGGACUUUUUAUAGAGGUAACCUUUGGUAUUAUUGAGUGGUUUUCAACUAAUUUGGGAAAGCAAUUGGUUUUGUUUUCCGUAAUCAGAUGUAGAAUUUGCAUAGUAGAAGGUAUCAAAGCGAUGCAUAUAUUGUGAAAUGUGUCUAUCUAGCUGGUCUUAGUUUCAGUUAGAUAACUUUAUGUUCAUUGAUCCUGAGUAUAAUGGCUUCGUUUUUUGUCCUGCUGUAAGCAAUUCUUUAUUGUGUGGAGUUUGUCAGUAUAAUUACUUGAUGAAUUUGGUUAUUUUUCAACAGAUAGCUGAAGAAGAUUAGGUGAUUUGGCAAUUCAAUUGCUGAAAAUGUUGCAUGCAAUGGAGAGCCAUAUAAGUGUGCUUGCAGUGUCUACUAUUGAUUCUAUGCAUCGUUCAGUUCAAAAGAGUAUAGGACAGAUGCAAGCGCUUCUGACUGCUAAAGUUUCUAAUUUAGAAUAAGGAGCAAGGCACUCGGUUGUAGUUCAGAUCAUAGGCUUGCUAUGACUCUCUUUUGCGAUUCAAAAUUUUAGUGCAAGAAUCUUGGCUUCUUGUGGGGUCUCUGUAGUAAAAUCUCAUUCAUCAUCAUCAACAGAUGAUUUCAUUUUGUGUAUGCUUGAGUUUAGAAAUUUUUGUCUCACUGUCCAUCGUCGACGUACCGUCCAUGAGCUGUUCAUAUAAGUCUAGUGAUAAUAUCUCUGAUUUAUUUUAAUAAUGUACACUUCCACCAAUGCAUUUCUGUUGGUCCUGUAACUACUACUUUCGCCUCAAAGAUUGCCACUGAUCAGCUUUCAUGUCUAUAACAUGAUUAUCUAGCUACAUGUGCUCCAUCUCUCCUGUUUUGUUCUAUUACAAAUGUCACUUUCUUCACUAAUCACGGUCAUUAGCAUAAAAAGGACAGUGGAAGGGACGCCACCUACCUGGCACCGCAAAGCUUCCGCUCAGGCGACGCAUCAGGGGUGUGCCUCCGUGUCCACGUCGGUAGCCUGCACUGUGCGGGCGAGUCAGAUUUUUACCGUGGAGAAAAAAACGCAGCAAGUGCGGGCGACUUCCUCUUAGUGUUACUAUAAAACUUAUUGGGCAAUCAUAUUUAAUUGUUGAAUGUGUUUAACCUGGUUGGGAAUAAUCCACUACCUAAGGGGAUCAAGAUCUCCGAAAUAUUAUUGUUUGUUCAAAGGUUGUUUGUUCUGUUA